UGGCAACAGAAAGUGUGCAUUUAUUUGAACAUUGAAAUGGUCCUUGACCACUGUCAACUCACGCCUUCACCAGAGAGUCCAGGACUCUCACAGGCAAGUCUGGCUCAGUCUCUUGUGGGGACACUGCUCCUUUCCCCUGGGUCCUGAUGUGCACAAGGUUUUGUCGUGCCCUUCAAGAGUCUGUUUCCCCAGUCCUGUGGAAGUUCUGUAAUCAAAUCCCAUUGGCUUUCAAAGUCAAAUUCCCUAGGGGUUCUCAGUUCCUUUGCUGCAUGCCCAGGUUGGGAAAUCUGUUGUGGGCCCUAGAAGUUUUGCGGCAGUGGGGGCAUAGCUUGGUGAGACAGGCUGUUGGGUGGGGCCGUGUUUGGUGAGGAAACAGCAGCCUCUAGGAGUGCUCAUGCCAACGAGAACUUGCCAGAACUGCCACUGCCGGUGUACUUGUCCACACAGUGAGCCAUCACUGCCCCGUCCUCUGUAGGAGACCUCGCAGUAUUAGCAGAUAUGUCUGCCCCAAUCUCUUGCCCAGUCACUUGCUUUUUCCCUUGGGUCUUGGUUUGCACAAGAUACUGUGUGUGUCCUCCAAGAGUGGAGUUUCUGUUUCACCUAGUCCUGUGGAAUUCCUGCAAUCAAACCUCAUUGGUCUUCAAAAUUAGAUUUUCUGGGGACUCCUCAUCUUGUUGCCUGGGAGGCAGAACUUUCACUCCUCUGGCAGAACUUCUGUGGUAUAACUGUUUUCCAGUUUAUGGUUGCCACCUAGAAUGUGUGGAACUUUAUCUUAUUGUGAUUGUGCCCCUCCUGCCUUCUCUUGUGGCUUCUUCUUUGGCUUUGGAUGUAUCUAUUUUUUUUUUUUUUGAAGCUUCCAGCAUUUUUGUUGUUGUUGUUGGUUGGUGGUUAUUUAGCAGUUUGUUGUGAUUUUGGUGUUUGUGUUAGAAGGAAUCACUCACGUUCUUUUACUCUGACAUCUUGUCUCCUCUGCUAUAUCACCAGUGUGCAUAUACUUUAAACCUUUUUUUCCCGCAUUUUAAACACUAUCAGUUUUACCUCCUUGUGCUUGUCUGCUU
ensembl:lncRNA